ACGAACGCUGGCGGCGUGCUUAACACAUGCAAGUCGAACGGAAAGGCCCUGCUUUUGUGGGGUGCUCGAGUGGCGAACGGGUGAGUAACACGUGAGUAACCUGCCCUUGACUUUGGGAUAACUUCAGGAAACUGGGGCUAAUACCGGAUAGGAGCUCCUGCUGCAUGGUGGGGGUUGGAAAGUUUCGGCGGUUGGGGAUGGACUCGCGGCUUAUCAGCUUGUUGGUGGGGUAGUGGCUUACCAAGGCUUUGACGGGUAGCCGGCCUGAGAGGGGGACCGGCCACAUUGGGACUGAGAUACGGCCCAGACUCCUACGGGAGGCAGCAGUGGGGAAUAUUGCACAAUGGGCGGAAGCCUGAUGCAGCAACGCCGCGUGCGGGAGGACGGCCUUCGGGUUGUAAACCGCUUUCGCCUGUGACGAAGCGUGAGUGACGGUAAUGGGUAAAGAAGCACCGGCUAACUACGU
rnacentral:rRNA from 1 species